UACGUAGGGGGCUAGCGUUGUCCGGAUUUAUUGGGCGUAAAGAGCGUGUAGGCGGCCCAGGUAGGUCUGCUGUGAAAACUCGAGGCUUAACCUCGAGAUGUCGGCGGAAACCACUCUGGCUAGAGUCCGGAAGAGGAGAGUGGAAUUCCUGGUGUAGCGGUGAAAUGCGCAGAUAUCAGGAAGAACACCCGUGGCGAAGGCGGCUCUCUGGGACGGUACUGACGCUGAGACGCGAAAGCGUGGGGAGCGAACAGG
rnacentral:rRNA from 1 species